AGAGUAGAGCGGAUGGUCGCUGCCCCUGUCGUUUUGUUUCGCUUUUGCGAAGCAAAACGAAACAGCAGGGGGAGAGGAAAGUCCGAGCUCCAAAGGGUGAGCGUAGUGGGUAACGCCCAUCGUCCCGAACCAAAAUACUGCUAAGUUUUAUACUUUUGGCAUAACUAAUGCCAUAUAGCAUUAGUUUGCUUUUAGUUUUGACUGUUGAAGUAUUUUGGUUCGGGAUAGGAUUAGAGCCACAGAGACAACAACUCAUCCAGAAAAAUUUUUCUGGGCAGAGGGUGAAAAGAGGUAAUCUCUACGCGGAGAAAGGUUAAAUAGGAAGGGAUGCUUAUAUGGCAACGAGCUUCACCCGGUUCGUCAGCACUUUCGGGUUGACCGCUAUUGAUUUUGUCGGUAACGGCAAAACUAGAUGGAUGGCCGUCAAAUACAGAACUCGGCUUAUAGCUCUACUCUCUUU
rnacentral:RNase_P_RNA from 1 species